AUCUACGGCCACACCACCCUGAACACGCCUGAUCUCGUCUGAUCUCGGAAGCUAAGCAGGGUCGGGCCUGGUUAGUACUUGGAUGGGAGACAAUGUAUUUGAUAUC
rnacentral:rRNA from 1 species